rnacentral:lncRNA from 10 species
UUUUUUUUUUUUUUCUUGAGAUGGAUUCUUGCUCUGUUGCUCAGGCUGGGGUGCAAUGGUGCAAUCUCGGCUCACUGCAACCUCCACCUUCCAAGUUCAAGCGAUUCUCCUACCUCAGCCUUCCAAGUAGCUGGGAUUACAGGUAUGCUCCACUACACCCAGCUAAUUUUGUAUUUUUAGUACAGAUAGGGUUCUACCAUGUUGGCCAGGCUGGUCUCGAACUCUUGACCUCAGGUAAUCUGCCUGCCUCAGCCUGCCAAAGUGCUGGGAUUACAGGUGUAAGCUACCAUGCCUGGCCAACAAAUUCACCUUCUUGCUAAUAUUUAUUUGUAACCUCAAGAUCAAUACUUGUGACAGUUUUGGGGUCGCUUGUGGAUAUAAGAGUGGUAAAAAUUUUGAGUCACCUGAUGCACACAUUCCCAGCUGAGGUGGAAUAAGCCAACACUCUGCCUCUUGUUUCAGUUCUUGUUUUGUAAACAAGUGUCCUUUUUGCAGUCUACUUAAUACCAUGUUUUCCCCAUUUUGUGCUUUUCGUAGGUGAUUUCUCUGUUUAAAAUGGCCCCAAGCAUAGUGCUGAAAUGCUAUCUAAUGUCCCAAAGUGCAAGAAGGCUGGGAUGCACCUCAUAGAGAAAAUGUGUGUGUUAGAGAAGCUUCAUUCAGGUAUGAGUUAUAGUGCUGUUAGCCAUCAGUUCAAUGUUAAUGAAUUAGCAGUGUACAUUAAAUAAGGCAUCUUUAAACAGAAACACUCAUGAAACAAGGUUGUGCCUUAAUGGACUGACAAAAAUGCUGGAACAGAGGCUCAUAGGAACAUUAUCCUAUAUUUUCAUUUAGGAGCAAUGGCUUAAUAUUCAUUAAUUCAGUGUUCACAGCAACUUUAUAGAACAGAACUACUGUGAAUAAUGAGAACUGAGUGUACUUUAGAAACACUCUGUCUUAGUCUGUUGAGGCUACAAUGGCAAGAUGCCUUAGACUGUAUACUUUAUAAACAACAGGAAUGUAUUUUUCACAUUUCUGGGGCUAGGAAGUCUAACAUCAAGAUACCAGAAGAUCUGGUGUCUGAUGAAGGCCUGUUCGUCACAGAUGUGUCUUCUCACUGUCCUCACAUGGUAGAAGGGCAAAAGGUCUCCCUCAAGCUUCUUUUACAGGGACACUAAUCCCAUGCAUGAGGGCAAAUCCCUCAUGACCUAAUCACAUCCUAAGGUCCCUAGUCUUAAUACUGUCACACUGGGGAUUAAAUUUCAACCUGAAUUUUGGGAAGACAAAGAUUUAGGCCACAGCAGUUCCUUUUGGUGGAGUUGUGGUCAAUGGGUUGAAGGGUUUGUGACUUACUGUCAUUGAAUUCAGUAAGACUAUCCUAGCGGUUCAUCUGAAAAGAUGAGGGCCUACGCCAAAGUAGUAGCAGUGAGGAUUAAUUAAUUAAUUAAUUCAUUCAUUCAUGCAGCAACUAUUGCUUGAACACCUAUGACAUGGCAGGGCACUAUGCUAGAUAUGGGAGGUAUUUCAGAGCACAAGGCAGAUAAAGUCCCUUUAUCGUGGAGUUUUUUAUUGAGUGGGAUGAAGAGGAGAGGUCAGAUGGACAGAUAUUAUGGAUGGGGAACCAACAGUGACUGAUUACAGUGGAAGAGAGAGAAGAAGUCAAAGGUAAGCCCAGAUUCUGUGUCAGGCAGCAAGGUGAAUGUGCUAAUUCUCCCAAAGAGAAGGAACAUAACAGGAGAAAUAGUCUUCAAAGACAGUGAAGAAGUCAGUGUGAUACAUGUUAAUUUGGAGGCCAUGGAGGAAUUGCCAAUCAGAAGUCCAGUGGCAGGUAAACUUUGAGCUGGUCCACAGGCCCUUGUGUGAAAAAAAUGCAGCUUCUCUAAUCAGUGUUUUCUGAAAGUGAACUCUUUAUCUUCUCUCAUGGUGAGAUUAAGUUCACAAUUAUGGUUCCCUGGAUUCUAACAUAUUUUCUCCUGCAUAUGGUUUCUAACUUUGGAUUGCUUUCUUCUUUCUUUCUUUCUUUCUUUUUGACAGAGUCUCACUCUGUCACCCAGGCUGGAGUGCAGUAGUGCAAUCUCGGCUCACUGCAACCUCCGCCUCU